UAGGGAAUCUUCCGCAAUGGGCGAAAGCCUGACGGAGCAACGCCGCGUGAGUGAUGAAGGUCUUCGGAUCGUAAAACUCUGUUAUUAGGGAAGAACAAAUGUGUAAGUAACUAUGCACGUCUUGACGGUACCUAAUCAGAAAGCCACGGCUAACUACGUGCCAGCAGCCGCGGUAAUACGUAGGUGGCAAGCGUUAUCCGGAAUUAUUGGGCGUAAAGCGCGCGUAGGCGGUUUUUUAAGUCUGAUGUGCAAGCCCACGGCUCAACCGUGGAGGGUCAUUGGAAACUGGAAAACUUGAGUGCAGAAGAGGAAAGUGGAAUUCCAUGUGUAGCGGUGAAAUGCGCAGAGAUAUGGAGGAACACCAGUGGCGAAGGCGACUUUCUGGUCUGUAACUGACGCUGAUGUGCGAAAGCGUGGGGAUCAAACAGG
rnacentral:rRNA from 1 species